rnacentral:rRNA from 1 species
GAUGAACGCUGGCGGCGUGCCUAAUACAUGCAAGUCGAGCGAACGGACGAGAAGCUUGCUUCGCUGAUGUUAGCGGCGGACGGGUGAGUAACACGUGGAUAACCUACCUAUAAGACUGGGAUAACUGCGGGAAACCGGAGCUAACACCGGAUGAUAUUUUGAACCGCAUGGUUCAAAAGUGAAAGACGGUCUUGCUGUCACUUAUAGAUGGAUCCGCGCUGCACUAGCGAGUUGGUAAGGUAACGGCUUACCAAGGCAACGAUGCAUAGCCGACCUGAGAGGGUGAUCGGCCACACUGGAACUGAGACACGGUCCAGACUCCUACGGGAGGCAGCAGUAGGGAAUCUUCCGCAAUGGACGAAAGCCUGACGGAGCAACGCCGCGUGAGUGAUGAAGGUCUUCGGAUCGUAAAACUCUGUUAUUAGGGAAGAACAUAUGUGUAAGUAACUGUGCACAUCUUGACGGUACCUAAUCAGAAAGCCACGGCUAACUACGUG